ensembl:lncRNA
UUUCUUUUUUUUUUUAAAAGCAUUAGUAUCUUUAUUAUGGCAUAAUGCAGUACUUUAUACAGUAAUUCAUUUUAAUGUAAAAACAUUUUAUGUACCAUUUCAGAGAAACAACUAUAUAGACAGCUGGAACAUAAAAACAGGUAAUUCCAAAGUCCAGAGUUACUUGAUAAACUGGAAAAUAUUUUCUCUGUAGAAAAUAGUAAAAAUGAUAACAUUUCCCACUAAGCCCAUUUAAGCCAAAUAAGAGCUGAAUUAUACAUAAAUAUUGUUUAGAUUGUGUGACCCAAAAGAAACUUCUCUUCCUUUAUUUGAAAAGCCAUAUUUUAUUUAAAUUGUGUCAAUUGAAAUUCUUUCCUUCUUUCCCUUCACUGUUUGGUUUUCCGCAGAUCAUUUUUUCUAUAGGGUAACCCAUUAAUUCAAAAUUCAAAAGGUUUUAGUUUUAGGCUGUCCUCUUGGAAGUAGAGCCAGCAUGUCCUUCUACCAUCUUGAAAUGGCGAAUUCUUACCCAAUAGUGAAAUGUUUCAUUAAAUCAUGCCCAUAUUUAUUACAAGCCAGAGAGUCGUCAACAAAGAAAAAAACCCCAAAGAAUCCCUGGCAGAGGAUGAGCCAUCUGGUCAGAGUUCAAGGGGGAAACUGAACUUAAAUAGAAAAAAGGGCACUGCUUCAGUGACAGCAGCUGAUUGGGUAUCAGAGCCCUUUGAUGCUGUUCUGGUAAGGCUAGGAGGUAAGGACUGUACUAACUAAAAUGAAGGUCUUAGCUGACCCAAACAACUGAGUUUAUAAAACAAAAACCAGAGCAUGUGGUUCUGACUUUCCUUCCAGGUCUAUUCUAGGACUCCUGUACAGACUCUAGUAGGGCUAGAGGACCCCACCACUCCAGCUUCUGUGCUAGGUGGGAGUUUCCCAGAUGAAGAACACUGAGCAGUAGGCAGGGGCCACGCUUCCGUUCCCUCAAAGCAACAACUUAAAAUGACACAGCUUGUCACAGCCGGAAUCUCUGAGCCAGAGAAGCAGCUCGUCAGGAACAGAUCUUACAAUAGAUCAAACUAGUCUCACUGUGCCCUUUAAAAGAUCUCACACUAGUAGGUGCUGUCCCUUCGGGAGCCCCACCUCAGGAAGUGCUCGCCACUCAAAGCAUGCUUUUCCACCUCUUUACUUGUCAAGAUGAAAGACAUCUUUGUGGCUUUUUUGAAGCCUUCCUCAGCAACACCAACUUAGCCCCACCCUCCCUGUAUGACUCCUUGGUAAAUCAAUCUUCCAAACGUGGGGUAGAAGCAAUUACACGCCAUUUAUCCAGUCUCAUUAACUAAGAAAAAGUCUACACACUGGGCCUGAACUUUAGACAUGGCUCCUAUGAAAAUGUACUCCAAUAUACACUGUCUGGAGAACUCACGGGAACACAAGUCACCCAGUGAGAAACAGUAGUGAGGACACCACAGAGUGAACCCAUGCUGCCUGCGCUCUAGAGCGGCUACAAACUGUUCUAUCAGCUAAGUCUGAGAUGGCUUCUGCGAAGCACUGCUCAGGUCAAACCUUGCCAGACAUAAACACAGCAACUGUUUGUGAGGGGAACAAGAGGCCAAGGAAUGCAAAAAUUAUCCACCCUGGCUCGCAUGGUCCCCCAGAGACUGAGGCACCCCUGGGAAACUUUCUUUGUAGGAUGAGUAGGAAACAUGUACAGGGGACCAGAGAAACAGUUGUAGGGAGGGCAUGUGCGAGGGUCUGAGCUUAGGCCCCAGUGCGCACACACAGAACACGGAGAUAGGCAGAUCGGAGGCUGGUUUUACUUUGUAAAUCUAGGAAGUAUGUUGAAAAAUGAAGCAAUGCAUUCCCAUCCCUUCCCCAAAUGCAGAGUUUAGGAUGGGUAGUUGGACAGCUCAGAAGCCUGUCUCUGCAAGAAAUGGGCUGAGAAUUGAUCAAAAAGGAAGCACUGGGGGCUUUGACAGCAGGACGGGCUCUGAGGUCCACAGUGGGGUGGGAACAAGUUCCUCUGGCCUCUACUCACUGACCAAAUGCUUUACUAAAACUCCGCUUCUGGCCUUUGUUUGGGGACCUGUUACUUUUGUUGCCACCUCCUGGUCGCUGUCCUCUGAAGUUUCUACUUCCUCCUCGCUGUCCCUGUCCCCGGAAGUUCCUGCUUCCACCCCGCUGUCCUCUGAAAGAGCCACGGCUGCCAUCCCGCUGGCCCCUGCCGCCUCGGUAUCCUUCUGGGGGUCCUUCCAGCUCCGGCUGCUCGGUGGCCACAGUGAGCUGCCAGCGUCUCGAAUCGUGCCACUUCUCCUUUAUUUCUGUGACUGCUUCAGUGCGGACAUCAAAACAAACUCCCAGUUUUCCUUUGAGGAAGACCAUCCCCUUCACUUUGGCAUCGAUGCUCUCAUCCAGCUGCUCCUUAAGUUCUUUCCAGGCAUAACUAAGGUUGGGCAUCUCAACAGAACACCGCAGGAUCAUGGUCACAAAGCCCGCUUGUGAGUUGAUUAGGGAGCGCUGGUCCACCGAUGUGGCCCCCGAGAUGUGAGCCAGAGCUGCGGCCAGGGCCUCUACAGCUCCCUUCUCCUCGAUCAGCUUCUCAGCCGACUGCUUGAAAUGGCCAAUAGCAGUGGGAGGCACAGAAUCCAAGAGCCUGAUUGCGUCUUUGCUGGAGGCUUUUAUUAUUUCUGUUGCAGAAGGAACACCUAUCCGUUUAAAUUUAAUUCCCGCUUUCUGCUCCACUUGUGCUAACUGGUACUCUUCUUUGUGCUGAUAAAAGCAGAUGCAAACCCCUGUUCUUCCAGCUCUGCCUGUCCGCCCCGAACGAUGAAUGUAAGACUCCACAUCCUUUGGUGGACAGCUCUGAACAACCAGGUCAACCUCAGGGAUGUCUAACCCACGGGCAGCAACAUUGGUUGCCACCAAAACUCCAAAAUUGUCAUUUCGGAAACCUUUCAGGGUGAUUUCCCUUUGCUUCUGUGGAAUGUCGCCAUGUAAGGACUGGGCAUCCUGCUUUAUGCACGUGUUCUGCGACAGCUCCUGUGCAUCCUUCUUGGUUUCGCAGAAGAUGAUUGUACGCCCUUGGUGACCACUGUACACUCGGAUCACAUCCCCAAUCACCGCUGCCCUCUCUGUCCAGUGACACUUAAUCGCCAGGUGCUCCACAGUUAUGGCUGCUUUCUGAGUCUUUUUACCAAUCAGGUCCACCUGUUUGUAUGUAGAUUUCAUGUAUUUCUUAGCAACAUUAAAUACCCAAUGAGGGCAAGUUGCAGAGAAAAGCAAUGUUUGGGGGUUGUCUUCAGAAUCUUUCUUGUAUGCCACACAUAAAAUUUCUUCCACUUGAUCAGCAAAGCCCAUAUCCAACAUCUGAUCAACUUCAUCCAGGACAACAUGUUUAAGUUUGGUGAGGUCUAGCUUGCCAUUCUGCAAGUGGUCUUUAAUACGACCUGGGGUCCCGACCAGGAUGUCAAUCCCACUCCGCAUUCGUUCGAUUUGACCACCAUAGGGAGUUCCACCAUAAAAACAGGCUACUGAGAGCUUUUUGGUGAUGUCACUGAAGUCUUUGCUCACUUGAUUUGCUAAUUCUCUUGUAGGUGCAAGGACUAGCACCUGAGGGGCUCGGCCUCUCUUCCUCUCUUGCAGCCCACCUUGAAGUUUCUCAAUCAAAGGGAUGGCAAAGGAGAAGGUCUUCCCGGUUCCUGUGCGUGCCUGGGCGAUUAAGUCCUUCCCACUGUACACAUGGUGGAAUGUCUUGGCUUGUAUAGGGAAGAGGAAGUUCACCCCACGAGCUUUGAGAAGUUUGACAGUCUCUUCUGAUAUGGGAAAAUUAGAGAAGGCUCCUUCUUUCUGCUCCACGGGUAUUUCCUUUUCUGUCUCGCUUUCCUCUCCGGGAGCUUGGGUGGAGCUGGAGUCUGGCUUGGGAUGGGAGAGCCCAUUCUUCAGCCCGGGGCUCUUCUCUCCCACGUCUCCGUUUGCUUCCUUCCCUUUCUUUGUCUUUUUGGGCUUAGGAGCGUCUGCCUCUUCCUCAGAAGGCUCCUCGGCUUUCAUUUCUUUGGUUUUAGCAGAGGGUGCUUUCUUCUCUAGGGGCUCCUUUUUCUUCUUGGAGGUUUUGCUUUUAGAAGCAGGGUCGUCUUGAGGCUCCUCUUCCUGCUUCUUGGCCUUCUUGGAUUUAGGGGGACCCACAUCAUCCUCAGAAGGCCCUUUCUUUUUAACUGCUUUCACUUUGGAGGAAGCGGCCUCUUCACUCCUUCUGUUGCCUCGUCAGUUUUAGAUUUUGGCUUCUCUUUUCUAGUUUUCUUCUCGCUUGGCUUCUGCAGCGUCUCCAUACUCUCCUCGGUCCCUUCUGACUCCGACUUGGACGCACUGCGGAGUUUUCCCGGCAUUAUUCAGCAGGAGCAGCUCAGGCCUACCGGCUUCCACAACCACGUGCAAAGGAA